ACCGAGUGAGCGGACCAGAGAUUGGGUAAGAGAGAGAAGAAGAAAGAGAGGGACAAUCAAAGGCAGUUUAGGUAUUUGAUCCCCAGGUCCACAUUGUUUCUUCUCCCAGAUCCACGUUUCCUCAGCCGCUACAGUUCCUUGCCUACCUUUCUAACCCUUUACGCCUCUUCAACAAGUUGUUUCUUCAACAAGUUGUUGAAGAAAUGGAGAAGCCAGAGACCCAGACUACGGCAUCCGGUGGCGGCGCUGAGCAAUUUAGGUUCGAAGUGGGUUUUGCCACAAUUUUAGAAGACAAAAUCCCCAUGGAUAUAAAGAUAUUGGAAGGGCAAUAAAUUAUGGUUCUUUGGGCUCUGGCAUCAUUGCUGAUCAUGCAACUUCAAGCAAUGAAAUUUGGUGGUUGAUUUCAGCUUUUUGGGGGAAGUUCUCAUGUGUAAAGUUAUUAUCACAUGAUGGCUGUCGGAGGAAAAGAUCAUGGGAUUGAAGGAAAUGCUCAAGGAAUGCAUACUGA